AGCGUAGGCGGACCUUUAAGUGAGAUGUGAAAUACCCGAGCUCAACUUGGGUGCUGCAUUUCAAACUGGAGGUCUAGAGUGUCGGAGAGGUAAGCGGAAUUCCUAGUGUAGCGGUGAAAUGCGUAGAGAUUAGGAAGAACCCCGGUGGCGAAGGCGGCUUACUGGACGAUAACUGACGCUGAGGCUCGAAAGCGUGGGGAGCAAACA
rnacentral:rRNA from 1 species